GAUGAAGAACGCAGCGAAAUGCGAUAAGUAAUGUGAAUUGCAGAAUUCAGUGAAUCAUCGAAUCUUUGAACGCACAUUGCGCCCGUCAGUAUUCUGGCGGGCAUGCCUGUUCGAGCGUCAUUACGCCCCUCAAGUCCCCUGUGGACUUGGUGUUGGGGAUCGGCGAGGCUGGUUUUCCAGCACAGCCGUCCCUUAAAUUAAUUGGCGGUCUCGCCGUGGCCCUCCUCUGCGCAGUAGCAAAACACUCGCAACAGGAGCCCGGCGCGGUCCACUGCCGUAAAACCCCCCAACUUUUUAUAGUUGACCUCGAAUCAGGUAGGACUACCCGCUGAACUUAAGCAUAUCAAUAAGCGGAGGA
rnacentral:misc_RNA from 1 species